AUUAUAAGCCUGGUACCUUUGAUAACUGUUUACACCACUGCCUCGAUACCACUACUGUUAACGUUUCAUCACCGAGGGUAUAACCAGCUCAGUAGUUAGCACUUCGGAGUUGAUAGGUAUAUCAAUGAUAAAGUCAUUUUUAUAAAUUUACUGUUUGUAAAAGUAUACAUUAUUCGAAAAACAAAUGAUUUUCAUAUCCCAGGCAUAGAAUACCUUUGCCGAAUUUGGCACAUUUUUUUGGGAAUUUUGGGUCCUCCCUGCUCUUCAACUUUAUAUUUGUUUGACUUCCUUUUUCAUUUUGAUUGAUGCGUCUUAUGAAGACGAAACGCGCGUUGGCGUAUCAAAUAAUAAGCCUGGUACCUUUGAUAACUAUGAACACCACUGGCCUGAUACCACUGGUGGUGGACGUUUCGUCCCCGAUAGUAUCACCAUCCCAGA
rnacentral:lncRNA from 1 species